GUUUAUAAAGUAAUGUUAAAUGGUCCUGAAAAGAUUAAAAACAGACUUUUAAUUCAUCAUUGCCAUUCUCCUAGCGCCAACAUUGUUGGAGGAUUCUUGGAACCACAUGGUGGACAGGAAACAACAGGCCAGCAACUCAGGCAGUAGGAUGGAAGUGUUCAACCUAAUUAUUCUACCUCAUCGACUGUCUGGCUGUGAAGUGCUAUCUUUGUAGAGCAACUGCACUACUGGCGAUUGCAGGCUGCGCAAAAUCACACAGCACAGGGCAACACUCCCGGAAAUGUUGUUUCUGGCAGUGUUAUCAAGUUUUGACAAAUCGCACACUGGAUUUGGUUUGAUCUGUGUUUGUGUAUCAACUGCACUGUAUGUGUUUUCAACACUAUUUGCAACAGCAGGAAAUGGUUUAGUCAGAUCAAACAGCUGUAGGCUACUUUGUGUUCCCCACCAGCUUUGUUAAAUGGCCGACAAAUUAGAGUGAAAUGUAACUACUGAACCUGAUAUUCAGCAG